rnacentral:tRNA from 1 species
AGAAAUAUAGCUCAGCAGUAGGGUAUUUGCCUAACAUUCAUCUCAUGAGACCCUGGGUUCAAACCCCAGUAUUGCUA